rnacentral:rRNA from 1 species
UACGUAGGGUGCGAGCGUUAAUCGGAAUUACUGGGCGUAAAGCGUGCGCAGGCGGUUUUGUAAGGCAGAUGUGAAAUCCCCGGGCUUAACCUGGGAAUGGCAUUUGGGACUGCAAGGCUCGAGUGCGGCAGAGGAGACUGGAAUUCCUGGUGUAGCAGUGAGAUGCGUAGAUAUCAGGAGGAACACCGAUGGCGAAGGCAGGUCUCUGGGCUGACACUGACGCUCAUGCACGAAAGCGUGGGGAGCAAACAGG